UCCUGAUUAUUUCCAUAUGUUAAUUGAUCUACCAAACAACGAGAUGUAUGCUGCUGUCAUCGGAGAUAAAUUUGUAGGAUUUACUUUAAUGACAACUGUAGAUGAUGGGAGAAGUAUAGUUACUAGGGCAGUUAGAGACUCCAAAGAAUACGCUGGUAAAGGAAUUGCUGAAAUAAUGUUGAAAUGGAUGGAUAUAGGAGAACCUCUUUACCGACCGUAAGUAAUAUGGCAUAAAAUUACAGGAAAUAGAACACACUCACCACUACUUCAACUGAUUAACAAAGGAACAUACAACAAAAUAUCACAACAAGAUUUUCUAGUUUACGACACGCAUAAAAGAACCCUAGAGAUAAAGAACAAUGUCAUAGAGAAUGAAAAUCAAUCUUUAAAAGCUGAAUAUAUUGAUGUCAAUCUGC